rnacentral:sRNA from 1 species
UGAAUCCUUUGCAAAUUAAGAUGAAACACUUUUAAACUAGAGGGAAAAAUCAUGAUUAUUUAAUGUCAUAUGAUAUGUACAAUAUUUAUGAUACAUUCUUGUAUUUUGGCUUGAUUUACUUGUUGCUAGUUUAGUGUGUGGUACAUGUAUUAGGUAUUUUCCAUGUACAUUAUAUACAUAAUGCUUGUAAAAAGGUGAUGGAUCAAUUUUGUAUAAACAUAUAGGAAAUUACACUUUGUAUUGACAUAUAUGCAAAGUAUGAUCUGCAAUAUACAUGUUCCUGUACAAUUUUACUGUAUUUGAAAAGGGUGAAAUUUUCAACUUAUUUUAUAAUUACUGCUAUUAUGAUUAAUUCAAAUUGCAAUCAUUUUGCAUCAAACUCUAGGAGAAUACUAAUUAAGCAAUAAAUCUGACACUUAAAGUUGUUUGGUCCAUUUGCAGCAGUUUUACCAAUUGUUUACAGUAAAUAAUAUUUCUAUGAAUAAAACAGUAAACAAAAUGUGUUUACUGAAUUACUUAACAAAAACUGGGGAAUGCUUAUGAUUCUGUCUGUGUAAUGUGUAAUAUAAUGAAAGUUUCUAACUUUCAGAGAUAAUUUAUGUAAAGAAGGCAGGAAAUACCAGUAUAUGAUACUUUAUUUUGUUAAAUUUGGGACCAAGCAACUUCAAUGUUAUGAAUAAAAUUUAAAAAGUUGGUGCCAUUUUUAAGUUUUUAUAUUGAAAUGUUUUGUGAUGAAAAUAACUAUUUGUAUGGGAUUUUAAAAAAUUUUGAUAAAUAAAUUUAUU